UAUUAAAUUUGAUUCUAAUUGGAAUCAGAUUGGCCUCAAUUGCAAUGCAAUUGACUAAUUGGUAUUCCAUUUAGCUAGAAUUUAAAUUUAAUUGCCUAAAUUAUAAUCUAAAUCCCUAAGCUACCCAAAAUAACCCAACACCACAUCAAUUUCGGCCCAAUAGCUAAAUACUCACCAGCCCAUUUCUUAUUUUAAAAUCUCCAGCCCAAAGAUUGGCCCAAUAUAAUCUUAAAACGAUCAGCAGCUCCCCCCUAUUUUAAGAUUUGAUACAGCGAUCCGGUCCACCAAGGGUUUCUUUCUUCUUGAAUCAGCAACAACAGUCAAUUCCCCAAGGUACAACAACCAAAUAUUCAACGUACAACCAAAUGACAACAUCGACCAACUUCGAACCCAUCGACGCUGACCCGAAUUCAGUUCGAACCAACCCAGUUUCAACCCAACCCUAUCCUUCUUCACGCGUUCCACGCAAUAGUACGACGAGGAAGACCUUGAAGCUUCUAAAAAUGGUGAGGUGUCUUCCCCCAACGGAUCAAUCCCGUAAAUCUCGGGAUAAGGGUACGAUUCCAUACCCAUUUGGGGGAUUUCGAUUGGUUCCUGAGGGGAAUUGGUUUUGGAAGAAUUCUAUUGGUCCGCCAAUUUCGUCUUUUUCUUGGGAGAUAAAUCCAAAAGGGAGAGUCAGUUAGAAGGGGGUUAGCCAUUUUUUUGAAUUUUGAUUUUUCCAUCCCUAAACUACCCCCGAUUUGGUCUUCUGUAUAAGAACCAGCUGGGUAUUGUUUUCGGAGGUCUCUUUUUUUUCAGAGAAAUUAGGGUUCAGAAAAAUUAGGGGUUGGGAAAAUUUUUUCGAGAGAGCUAGGUUGGAAAAAUUUUGGUUAGAAAAUUUUGAGUGGAAAAGGCAAAGGAUCCUAGAGCUAAAAGCUUUCCUUCAUAGCAAAGUUUUCUCCUUUCUUUUCCUUUUGGAAGUUGGUCGAUCAAUUCGGAAGUUCUCAAGUCGAUAAUAUCAGUUCCCGGUGGUGACGGUCCUAGCGAUUAACUCGUUGUCUUGUUUUGCUGCUCUCGGAAAGUCCAAAUGGGCUCUUUCCCUUCUGCAUUUCACAAAUGGGCCAUUGAGGCCCAUUCCCUUUUAGAAGACCUUGGAAAGGACUAAAAAGACAGUCACAUGGUAUACCGAUGCGAAGAGUCGAAUGAAGAAGGAAAAUGGGUUAAAAUCCCAUUUGAAGCAGCUAAGAGACUUGAAAGUCUCAAUUUCCAUUUCAUUUAUUUAUUUAGUCAUUCAUUAUUGUUGUCUUUGUUUAUUUAGUUAUUUAUUUUUAUUCAUUCAUUUGGGCUACGAAGCCAAGGUUGUAUUUAAUACAGGUGGAGCGAGACUCGAGCUAACGACUCGAAACACUAGACUGGGACGGGUGAAAUGGAUCGAAAGCCCAAUUAGACUAGGACAUGUUUUGUUGGUUUGGGCCGAUGGCCUAAAUCCCUUACUUCCUCCCCUUCCCCCUGUCCUUUAUGUUUGUUUUCCUUAUAUGCUUUGCGAACCUAGUUAAAUCUUUAGUUAAGUCGCUAAAAAACUAGUUUUUGCAUAAACACCAAAAUAUUUUCAAAAUCGCUUUCUUUUCAAAAAAUCAAUCACUUUUCGACAAAAUUAAUCUUUUCGAAGAUGAUUUUCAAACAGUCUGGAUAAUCGCAAGUUAGCGGACGUUUUAGGUGCUUAACACCUUCCUAAAACGUUAAUAGAAAUCGCUUACUCAGAAUCUCUUAACUUAAAACGAUUUUCCUGUUUUGAAUCGUUUUAAGUAGCUCCCUAAAGGUUUCUUAAUUCUUUUUCAAAAUUAAGUGGCGAUUCUCUUUCAAAAGUCAAAAUUUUUGCAAAAGCAACUAUAUAUUUAGUGUGUGUAUAUAUUGUAGUAUAUGUUUUAUUUAAAGUAGUACAUAUAUAUUGAAUGGUACGUAUAUAUAUGUAUAUAUAUUCUACAGAUUCUAAAGUAGUAUAUAUUUAACGUAUAAUACAUGUGUAUAUGUUUUAUAAAUUAGUAUAUAUAUCAUUAUAUUGUAGUAUAUAUCUUGUAACAUGUAUAAUUGUGUAUAUGUGUAUAUGUAUUUUAAAUUUUAAUGUACUAUAUACUAUAUAUAUAGGGUAUAUAUAUUGUUUUAACGAAUUUAAAAUGUUUAUAGGUGGGUAUAUAUACUGUAUAUUGGAGAAAUUUUUUUUUUUUUUUUUUUAAUCGGAUUUUUGGACCGAUUUUGAUCAGGUCUAGGUGGGUUAGAUCGGAGUGGGCUGGUUCAGGAUUAAUUUUUAAAAAAUUACUGUUGGGCUCGAAAUUGAACUGACCCGUUUAACAAGCAUGGAUCCGGAUCGGUCCAUAAACCGGAUAAACUUGAUGGGCCCACUUAACAGCCCAUGCAUUUGUUGUUAGCUAUGGAGAUUGGAGAGUACUCCACGAUGAUCAAUGAGAAGACAAUGAGAAGAUAAAGUUAGAAACUAGUACUAAAAUGAUGGGAAUUUCUGACAGAUGUCUCAUUGGAAAUUGACCCAUUAUUAAGGGGUUUUGGCGAAAAAUCCAUUCGAAACAUUUUCAAAAAGGCAAUUUUUAUAGACAAUUUGCUAUUUUUUUUUUUUUUUUUGAAAGUAUUGAGACGCAAUGAAUUCGUUGAAGACAAAGCUUAAAUAAUUUUAUAUUCUAAAUUCACCACUAGUUCAUAAUAGUCAUUCUUUGAUUUUCA